rnacentral:tRNA from 1 species
AGUCUUAUAUUCAUAUAAAUGAUAUUAAAUUGCAAAUUUAAAGGAGUAAUAAAAAUUAUUAAGGCUU